rnacentral:rRNA from 1 species
AACGCUAGCUACAGGCUUAACACAUGCAAGUCGAGGGGCAGCACAAGGCAGCAAUGCUGAGGUGGCGACCGGCGCACGGGUGCGUAACGCGUAUCCAACCUUCCCGUUACUCAUGGAUAGCCUUCCGAAAGGGAGAUUAAUACAUGAUGGUGUUGAAAUUCCGCAUGUUAUUUCAACUAAAGAUUUAUCGGUAACGGAUGGGGAUGCGUGACAUUAGAUAGAUGGCGGGGUAACGGCCCACCAUGUCCACGAUGUCUAGGGGUUCUGAGAGGAAGGUCCCCCACACUGGAACUGAGACACGGUCCAAACUCCUACGGGAGGCAGCAGUGAGGAAUAUUGGUCAAUGGGCGAGAGCCUGAACCAGCCAAGUAGCGUGCAGGAAGACGGCCCUAUGGGUUGUAAACUGCUUUUAUACAGGAAUAAAGUUAGCCACGUGUGGUUAUUUGUAGGUACUGUAUGAAUAAGGACCGGCUAAUUCCGUGCCAGCAGCCGCGGUAAUACGGAAGGUCCAGGCGUUAUCCGGAUUUAUUGGGUUUAAAGGGAGCGUAGGCCGUCUGUUAAGCGUGUUGUGAAAUGUAGAUGCUCAACAUCUGAAUUGCAGCGCGAACUGGCAGACUUGAGUGUGCGCAACGUAGGCGGAAUUCGUGGUGUAGCGGUGAAAUGCUUAGAUAUCACGAAGAACUCCGAUUG